rnacentral:misc_RNA from 1 species
CUGAGAACAUGCCCUUUAUGGGUAUAUCUCCCACCCAUUGUUUACAAUACCUUUGUUGCUUUGGCAGGCCCGUCUCAUGACCACCGGCUUUGGCUGGUCUGUGCCUGCCAGAGGACCCUAAAACUCUUUAUUAUGUUGUCCGAGUACUAUGUAAAUAGUUA